AUGACCUCUGCAUGCAUCUCAACACUUGCGAUUUUCUUCACACUGAGUGGACCGAGAGCUCAGUCAGUGACUCAGCCAAAAGAUCAGAUCACUGUGGCCGAAGGAAAUCCACUGACUGUGAAAUGCACUUAUUCAUUUUCUGGGAGCCCUUAUCUCUUUUGGUACGUCCAAUAUCCGAACCAAGGUCUCCAGUUCCUUCUGAAAUACAUCACAGGGGACAGCCUGGUUAAAGGAAGCUACGGUUUUGAGGCUGAAUUUAAUAAGAGCCAAACCUCUUUCCACCUGAAGAAACCAUCUGUCCUCGGGAGUGACUCUGCUGUGUACUUCUGUGCUGGGAGUGACACAGUGGUGGGGGCUGCAGGGAGAGCUGAACACAAACCCCUGAGUACAUUGAAGGAACUAAGGCGCAGAGAAUUUAAGCAUCUCACUCAAGUCACAAAACUAUUCAAUGGCAAGUUGAAACCCAGGCAGUCUGCCUCUCAGGUACAUGUUCUAACCAUUCCACAUCCCUACCAGCCUAUCGGCUCCUUGAGGCAUGAGAUUGUGAUUUCAGCGAUGGUGUAA